GACGAACGCUGGCGGCGUGCUUAACACAUGCAAGUCGAACGGAAAGGCCCUGCUUUUGUGGGGUGCUCGAGUGGCGAACGGGUGAGUAACACGUGAGUAACCUGCCCUUGACUUUGGGAUAACUUCAGGAAACUGGGGCUAAUACCGGAUAGGAGCUCCUGCUGCAUGGUGGGGGUUGGAAAGUUUCGGCGGUUGGGGAUGGACUCGCGGCUUAUCAGCUUGUUGGUGGGGUAGUGGCUUACCAAGGCUUUGACGGGUAGCCGGCCUGAGAGGGUGACCGGCCACCUUGGGACUGAGAUACGGCCCAGACUCCUACGGGAGGCAGCAGUGGGGAAUAUUGCACAAUGGGCGGAAGCCUGAUGCAGCAACGCCGCGUGCGGGAUGACGGCCUUCGGGUUGUAAGCCGCUUUCGCCUGUGACGAAGCGUGAGUGACGGUAAUGGGUAAAGAAGCACCGGCUAACUACGUG
rnacentral:rRNA from 1 species